rnacentral:rRNA from 1 species
UACGGAGGGUGCAAGCGUUAUCCGGAUUUACUGGGUUUAAAGGGUGCGUAGGUGGGUCUGUAAGUCAGUUGUGAAAUCUCCGGGCUUAACUCGGAACGGUCAACUGAUACUGCGCGGCUAGAGUGCAGAAGGGGCAACUGGAAUUCUCGGUGUAGCGGUGAAAUGCGUAGAUAUCGAGAGGAACACCUGCGGCGAAGGCGGGUUGCUGGGCUGAUACUGACGCUGAGGCGCGAAAGCCAGGGGAGCGAACGGG